rnacentral:rRNA from 1 species
UACGUAGGGCGCAAGCGUUGUCCGGAAUUAUUGGGCGUAAAGAGCUCGUAGGCGGUUUGUCGCGUCUGCUGUGAAAACUCGAGGCUCAACCUCGGGCUUGCAGUGGGUACGGGCAGACUAGAGUGCGGUAGGGGUGACUGGAAUUCCAGGUGUAGCGGUGAAAUGCGUAGAUAUCUGGAGGAACACCGGUGGCGAAGGCGGCAUCCUGGACCGAUACUGACGCUGAGGAGCGAAAGCCAGGGGGAG